AGAGACACAUGUACGGCUUCAAAUUAAGAUUAUGCACGGUUCAAGAGGCGCACACGUUUUCACGGUGUCUUACGAUAAAACGUGGAAAUAAAUGAACAAGGACAUCUGUAUGAUGCGUGGCCUUACUCAAUUGGACCAGUGUAUUUACAGCCAAGCCAGAAACUAACCCUGAAGAGACCAAAGACUAAAGUGUUGUUAAAGUAUCAAACAGCAACUUACAGUUUCUUCAAACAGUCCAAAGAGUUGAUGAAGAAGAGUUGAUGAAGAAGAGUUGAUGAAGAAGAGGGUUUCUCUCCACCUGCAGAGAAAUCUCUGACACAGGUGAGCUGUUUCCUGGAAUGAGUCACAGCUCCACCUGUCAGGAAGCAGGCAGGAAGGGCUGCAACAGGAGCAGAUUUUCACAAUAAAAGGAAAUUUGGACUA